UGGCGGCACUAGCGCGGUGGUCCCACCUGACCCCAUGCCGAACUCAGAAGUGAAACGCCGUAGCGCCGAUGGUAGUGUGGGGUCUCCCCAUGCGAGAGUAGGGAACUGCCAGGC
rnacentral:rRNA from 41 species